rnacentral:rRNA from 1 species
UGGGGAAUAUUGCACAAUGGGCGCAAGCCUGAUGCAGCCAUGCCGCGUGUGUGAAGAAGGCCUUCGGGUUGUAAAGCACUUUCAGCGAGGAGGAAGGUGGUGGACUUAAUACGUUCAUCAAUUGACGUUACUCGCAGAAGAAGCACCGGCUAACUCCGUGCCAGCAGCCGCGGUAAUACGGAGGGUGCAAGCGUUAAUCGGAAUUACUGGGCGUAAAGCGCACGCAGGCGGUUUGUUAAGUCAGAUGUGAAAUCCCCGGGCUCAACCUGGGAACUGCAUUUGAAACUGGCAAGCUAGAGUCUCGUAGAGGGGGGUAGAAUUCCAGGUGUAGCGGUGAAAUGCGUAGAGAUCUGGAGGAAUACCGGUGGCGAAGGCGGCCCCCUGGACGAA